rnacentral:rRNA from 1 species
UACGGGGGGGGCAAGCGUUGUUCGGAAUUACUGGGCGUAAAGGGCGCGUAGGCGGCCUGCUAAGUCGGACGUGAAAUCCCUCGGCUCAACCGAGGAACUGCGUCCGAUACUGGUGGGCUUGAAUCCGGGAGAGGGAUGUGGAAUUCCAGGUGUAGCGGUGAAAUGCGUAGAUAUCUGGAGGAACACCGGUGGCGAAGGCGGCAUCCUGGACCGAUAUUGACGCUGAUGCGCGAAAGCCAGGGGAGCAAACGGG